UAGUAAUGGCAGGUCAGCAUACUGCCGUGAAUACGUUCCCGGGCCUUGUACACACCGCCCGUCACACCAUGAGAGUUGGGAAUACCCGAAGCCUGUGAGCUAACAUUAUGAGGCAGCAGUCGAAGGUAGAAUCAAUGAUUGGGGUGAAGUCGUAACAAGGUAGC
rnacentral:rRNA from 1 species